AUGCCCUAGUAACGGCGAGUGAAGCGGCAACAGCUCAAAUUUGAAAUCUGGCCUUCUGGUCCGAAUUGUAAUUUGUAGAGGAUGACUUUGGUUAGGUACCUUCCGAGUUCCUUGGAACAGGACGCCUUAGAGGGUGAGAGCCCCGUACGGUUGGAUGCCGAUCCUUUGUAAGUCUCCUUCGACGAGUCGAGUAGUUUGGGAAUGCUGCUCUAAAUGGGAGGUAAAUUUCUUCUAAAGCUAAAUACCGGCCAGAGACCGAUAGCGCACAAGUAGAGUGAUCGAAAGAUGAAAAGCACUUUGAAAAGAGGGUUAAAUAGUACGUGAAAUUGUUGAAAGGGAAGGGUUUAUGACCAGACCUUUGCGUUGGGAAUCAUCCGGUGUUCUCACCGGUGCACUUCCCUUCGUUGAGGCCAGCAUCAGUUCUAGUUGGGGGAUAAAGACAUUAGGAAUGUGAUUCCUCCGGGAAUGUUAUAGCCUUUUGUGUAAUACCCUGACCGGGACUGAGGACCGCGCUUCGGCUAGGAUGCUGGCAUAAUGGUCAUCAGCCACCCGUCUUGAAACACGGACCAAGGAGUCGAACAUUUAUGCGAGUGUUUGGGUGUUAAACCCUCACGCGUAAUGAAAGUGAACGGAGGUGAGAGCCCUUACGGGUGCAUCAUCGACCGAUCCUGAUGUCUUCGGAUGGAUUUGAGUAAGAGCAUAACUGUUCGGACCCGAAAGAUGGUGAACUAUGCGUGGAUAGGGUGAAGCCAGAGGAAACUCUGGUGGAGGCUCGCAGCGGUUCUGACGUGCAAAUCGAUCGUCAAAUCUGCGCAUGGGGCGAAAGACUAUCGA
rnacentral:rRNA from 1 species